CUUAUAUUAUUUCCUUCUGUCUACAGUAACUUCCAAAUUGUUUUUUUUUCGUAAGUGCUAACCACCAAAUUGUAUUUACACAUUAAAAUUCCAGUAGUGUUAUUUUGUAUUUACCUAAUUCUAGCAGAACCAGUAUUUAUUCUUAGAGAAUGCGUCUCUGUUCUAGCUAACUUAAAUCUAGUCCCCAGACUUACAUUUUGCUUUUUUCUCCCCAACAGUUAGAAUAUAUUGAUUGGUUCCAUCCAUACUUCUGUACUGAUGUAUUAGAGAAGCAGGAAGUUAGCUGUUGUUGAGUUACAUGUGGCUGUAUCCAUACUGCACCUGGGCUAGCUCAAAGAUCAUUUACUGCCUUAUGCAGCUCCUUUGUCAGUGAGUCUCUGACUUCUCCAGGCUAGGCUGUUGUUGAAGAUUAGCUACUGAACUUGUGCCUAUGGUCCCAAAUGGAAAUGAGAGGCAUCCUGUGAAAUGUUACGAUUUCUGGGUGUAUUUUCCUGAAUUGCCAUUAAUCUGGAUAAAUCUUUACUGUCUAUCAUGAAGUAUAAAGUUCUGUUUUGAAAUGGUUUAAUUUGCUGGAAGGGUGGAUUCCUUUCUCCCAAACAGUGUAAAUUUCAACAAAUUAAUCACUUAUAGCCAUAAAUACAAGCAGAUGAGAAGACGGUUGGAAGAUGUUAGGAAGAUGUGUGUAAAACUGAAGUUAUAAUUAAUUAUUUCUUGAUGAGCCACUAUAUUCUUACCGUGUUUUAUGUAGUUGGCUGGAAACUGUCCAGGUUUUGUACUAGGUGUCAAUAUCUCAUAGUGUAAGUAAACAUGGCUGGAAAGAAAAAGCUGCCUUCUAUGAAUUUCUUGCACUAGAAUCUUUAGAGGAACUCUCCGGAAGAACUAGGAAUAACAAGAGCUUCCUUAUCACAAGAUGUCCUGAAGAUUGAUAGUGAACUGACAAGUGCAGGUAACUUACUGCCAAGCGCUCCCAGCAAGGUAGAAUUAAGCAACCAGGAGAUUAACUCAUGUUGGACUUGCAUUAGAAAUAUCUUCAUAUGAAACGUGAAAGAUAAAAGUUCAAUAAUGAGGAACAGCUCGUGGGUUGUAUUCCUCCAAAUGAGUGGCAUGCAGUUAUGCUGGGCCAUGUGUGGGCUUGUAACAUCAAGCUACUAUCCAGUAUAUCUGGAUCACAGUAAUGAUCAAGCUCUUUUUGAGGAGGAUGAGCUUCAAGGCAGGUAAGUGAAAUUAUGUGGGUGUAUUACUGUGAAUCC
rnacentral:lncRNA from 1 species